rnacentral:rRNA from 1 species
UUAAGCCAUGCGAGUCGAACGAGUUUAGGCUCGUGGCGUACGGCUCAGUAACACGUGGAUAACCUACCCUUAGGACUGGGAUAACCCUGGGAAACUGGGGAUAAUACUAGACAGGCAAUUUUUCCUGGAAUGGUUUUUUGUUUAAAUGUUUUUUCGCCUAAGGAUGGGUCUGCGGCCGAUUAGGUAGUUGGUUAGGUAACGGCUUACCAAGCCAUUGAUCGGUACGGGUUGUGAGAGCAAGAGCCCGGAGAUGGAACCUGAGACAAGGUUCCAGGCCCUACGGGGUGCAGCAGGCGCGAAACCUCCGCAAUGUGAGAAAUCGCGACGGGGGGAUCCCAAGUGCCAUUCUUAACGGGAUGGCUUUUCAUUAGUGUAAAGAGCUUUUGGAAUAAGGGCUGGGCAAGACCGGUGCCAGCCGCCGCGGUAA